GGAUACGAUCAUACCAGCACUAAAGCACCAGAUCCCAUCAGAACUCCGAAGUUAAGCGUGCUUGGGCGAGAGUAGUACUAGGAUGGGUGACCUCCUGGGAAGUCCUCGUGUUGCAUUCC
rnacentral:rRNA from 1 species